rnacentral:sRNA from 1 species
ACAAUGCUGUUAGGGGAGAGGGGGUGCUACAGUGACAAAGCAGUUCAAUUAUGACUUGCAGUAAAUCGUCCUUUGGAGAAUGCAGUACUCCCUGGAUUAUUUGUUCUUGCAUUUCUUUUAACUCCCCUUUCAAUGUGUUUAACAUUUUGACCAGAAGACUCUGGCCUCUGCUGCACAGUGUCUCAAACACUAUUUUUCCCCUUUUUGUUUAGACCUGAGCUUGGCAAAGCAAGGAUAUGAACAAUUGUGCAGGUGGGCUACUCAGGGCGAGUGAAGAGAUAAGGCAUCCAAUCAGGGAUUGGCCACCUGCAGCCCUGCCAAUAUGCCCCUCCACCAGAUUUCCGUAAUCCCAGCACGGGAGACUGCCAGCAAUGGGAGAAAUUCAAUGGGCAGAAACAAAGAGAAGAACAAGGAAGUCGAGAAUGAAAAAUCCCCAGGGCGAUCUGCAAGUCGAUCAAGUAACAUUUCAAAAGCAAGCAGCCCAACAACAGGGACAGCU